rnacentral:lncRNA from 1 species
UCUCCAGCGCGCUGGGAUUUCAGGCAUGUGUUACCAUUCCCUAUACCUCCGUCCUGUUGUUAGCAUCUCUCUGUAAGCUGCCCUGCCGACCUCCAUCCACACAGGAUGUACGGCUGUAAUUCCUCUCCCAUUCGGUGAGGCACAGUUUUGGCAACUCAUUUUUGAGGAGUUUGAACAAGAUGCUGUCAUUACUGAAGUAGAAGGGCAUAGCAGUGUGAAAAGAGAACAACAAAACAAAUGCGGCCUCAACUGAGCAGAGCUCACACCAUCAGUAAAAGCUCGUGUGGAUUAUUCCUUGACGAAGUGCACUGAGGAUAGCAUCACCAGUUUAAUUCUGAGAAACCAAAACUCGAGGGACGUUCAAGGAAAGAACUGGACGGUGCCCUUCGGAAGAGUCAAGGAUUUGAAGAUAAAGAAACCCUGAAGACUGCCCCACCUCGUAGACACAGAGGACGCAUGAUCAUUAAAUACAAUAUGGUAUCCUAAAGCAGUAUCUCAAGACGCUGUAAAUUGAUGGCUCUACUCUUGCUCAAAGCCAGCAGAGCCGCGCUCCUAACAUUUCAACAUUUGCCAGUAGAGGGCAGCACUGCCUUUUUUGAGAAAUGUUGAGCAUCUAGGGAAAAAGCUCCCAACGGUUGUCAUUUUUGUUUUUAAUCUUACUUUACCCAUGCAAGCUCUCUUGAGAUUUAUUUUUCUUAUUGCUUGUGUGAUUUUAUAGAGAGAAUCCCACACCUUCUGUUGCUUAAUAAAUGGAAGAUGGAGCAAUUAGUG